AUUGAACGCUGGCGGCAGGCCUAACACAUGCAAGUCGAGCGGUAGAGAGGUGCUUGCAUCUCUUGAGAGCGGCGGACGGGUGAGUAAUGCCUAGGAAUCUGCCUAGUGGUGGGGGAUAACGUUCGGAAACGGACGCUAAUACCGCAUACGUCCUACGGGAGAAAGCGGGGGAUCUUCGGACCUCGCGCCAUUAGAUGAGCCUAGGUCGGAUUAGCUAGUUGGUGAGGUAAUGGCUCACCAAGGCGACGAUCCGUAACUGGUCUGAGAGGAUGAUCAGUCACACUGGAACUGAGACACGGUCCAGACUCCUACGGGAGGCAGCAGUGGGGAAUAUUGGACAAUGGCGAAAGCCUGAUCCAGCCAUGCCGCGUGUGUG
rnacentral:rRNA from 1 species